rnacentral:rRNA from 1 species
AGUGAACGCUGGCGGUAGGCCUAACACAUGCAAGUCGAACGGCAGCACAGUAAGAGCUUGCUCUUACGGGUGGCGAGUGGCGGACGGGUGAGGAAUACAUCGGAAUCUACUUUUUCGUGGGGGAUAACGUAGGGAAACUUACGCUAAUACCGCAUACGACCUACGGGUGAAAGCAGGGGAUCUUCGGACCUUGCGCGAUUGAAUGAGCCGAUGUCGGAUUAGCUAGUUGGCGGGGUAAAGGCCCACCAAGGCGACGAUCCGUAGCUGGGCUGAGAGGAUGAUCAGCCACACUGGAACUGAGACACGGUCCAGACUCCUACGGGAGGCAGCAGUGGGGAAUAUUGGACAAUGGGCGCAAGCCUGAUCCAGCCAUACCGCGUGGGUGAAGAAGGCCUUCGGGUUGUAAAGCCCUUUUGUUGGGAAAGAAAAGCAGCAGGUUAAUACCCCGCUGUUCUGACGGUACCCAAAGAAUAAGCACCGGCUAACUGCGU